CCGGCCCAGCAACACGCCGAGGGGACAGUUCCUCUCAGCGCAGGCAGAGAAAACCAAAAAAAAAAAAAAAAAAAAGACAGAAAAAAAGAAAAAAAAAAAGAGACAGGGAGA